AGACCAUGAUGAGGACAAUGUCAAAGUAAUUCUUUACAUCUUUCCCAAGCCUCAUACAAUGAUUCAAAAUCUUGCUACAUGAAUGAUGUGAUAUCGUUCCUCAUUUU
rnacentral:snoRNA from 1 species